rnacentral:snRNA from 1 species
GCUCCUCAACAUAGCACAAACG